UGGGGAAUUUUGGACAAUGGGCGAAAGCCUGAUCCAGCAAUGCCGCGUGUGUGAAGAAGGCCUUCGGGUUGUAAAGCACUUUUGUCCGGAAAGAAAUCCUUGGCUCUAAUACAGUCGGGGGAUGACGGUACCGGAAGAAUAAGCACCGGCUAACUACGUGCCAGCAGCCGCGGUAAUACGUAGGGUGCAAGCGUUAAUCGGAAUUACUGGGCGUAAAGCGUGCGCAGGCGGUUUGCUAAGACCGAUGUGAAAUCCCCGGGCUCAACCUGGGAACCGCAUUGGUGACUGGCAGGCUAGAGUAUGGCAGAGGGGGGCUAGAAUUCCACGUGUAGCAGUGAAAUGCGUAGAGAUGUGGAGGAAUACCGAUGGCGAAGGCAGCCCCCUGGGCCAAUACUGACGCUCAUGCACGAAAGCGUGGGGAGCAAACAGGAUUAGAUACCCUGGUAGUCCACGCCCUAAACGAUGUCAACUAGUUGUUGGGGAUUCAUUUCCUUAGUAACGUAGCUAACGCGUGAAGUUGACCGCCUGGGGAGUACGGUCGCAAGAUUAAAACUUAAAUGAAUUGACGGGGUC
rnacentral:rRNA from 1 species